AACUUUAUAAAUUAUUGUUUUUUGUUGUGGAAAAAUUAUGUCGAUAUUCUAAAUAAUCAUAAUAAUUUGUAUCGGUAUACUAUUCGUAGGGUAUCGAAAACCAGGGUAAAAAACAGACAGGAAAUGAAACUGAGCAUUUCAAACAAAUUUUAACAAAUGUAUAAUAUGAAAAGAAUUAACAUUCCAAAUUGGAUUUGAAUCAAUCCUCUAACAAAAAUUGAUCUAUGUCAUUAAUUCAAUGGAUAUGGGUAGAAAAACUAAUAUUGUAACUAUUAUUUGAAGAUUAUCCCCUAAAAAAAUUAUUUUUUGAAGGGAUUUUUUUUAUUUAAAUUUGAUUUAUCAUAAACUCAAGAUACCCGUGUAGACAUGGGUCUCAUAUCCUGAAUUUAUGAUAGAAUAAGUUAAAGAUAAGAAUUUCUCUACCCUUUAGUGAUAGGAGGACCACAAGACAAGGCAAUACGAAAUUUUGACAAUAAUUUUAGACCAACAAUUUAUAGUAACAGAAAAAAUUAAUAUGGAAGAACACAAGCAAAACAUAACAGUUUCAGGAAAUAGAUUCAAACAAAUCAAUUUGCGGGACUUGAACCUAGCCGUGUGGAAUUAGAGAAGAAGCUGAAAGUUUGAGGAAUGGUAGCAUCUCGUAGCAAUUAAGGAAAGUAAGGAUGAAAUUGAUAUGACUGUAGGAGAAGGAAAUUAUGAUGGAAGCUUAUGUCACACCCAAGUUUUACUAAAUAUGACUAAUAUGACCA
rnacentral:misc_RNA from 1 species